GGAGAAGCAUAAGAUGGAAAGCUAGAUUUAAGAAACUGCCAUUGGCACAUGCCAAAGAAUUUUGGAGAAAGUAUUCUAGAAGUCAGGGGGUAGAGAAGGAAGGGUUAAAUGAUAGAUAACUGACACUUGGUCUUGGUCUUGGACUGGGACUUGGUCCUUGGUCUUAGUCUUGAACUUUUACUUUGAUCCUGGUCUUGCCAAAACAGAAGGAGGAAGAGCUGCUUCUAGGAGUGUUUCCGAUUUCAAGUCUUUGGAGAACAAAGGACAACCCUUCAAUCCUUCCUUGUGCUUCCUUAUCAGCUGGAGGGCAGUUUGGAGCAGAUUUGGUUAUCCCUGCUGUCUUGACCAUCCAAGAAAAGGUAAUAAGACUCUGGUCAGAUAA
rnacentral:lncRNA from 1 species